rnacentral:rRNA from 1 species
GAAUAUUGGACAAUGGGGGGACCCUUAACCCACCAUUCCCCCGGUGUGAAAGAGGCCUUUUGGGUUUUAAACAACUUUAGCGGAGGGGGGGAGGCCUUUGGUAAUACCCAAGAUUCCUGGACGUUUACCGCCGGAUAAGCCACCGGCAACCCCUGUGCAAGCAGCCGCGGUAAUACAGAGGGUGCAAGCGUUAAUCGGAUUUACUGGGCGUAAAGCGCGCGUAGGUGGCCAAUUAAGUCAAAUGUGAAAUCCCCGAGCUUAACUUGGGAAUUGCAUUCGAUACUGGUUGGCUAGAGUAUGGGAGAGGAUGGUAGAAUUCCAGGUGUAGCGGUGAAAUGCGUAGAGAUCUGGAGGAAUACCGAUGGCGAAGGCAGCCAUCUGGCCUAAUACUGACACUGAGGUGCGAAAGCAUGGGGAGCAAACA